UGCUGAUUCCCAUAAAAAACACAUCAAGAACUCAUACAUAUGCCCCAACCCCAUUACCAUGGCAACCUUAGCAUCCAGAGAUGAAUCUGACAACGAUAGCAGCUCUUCCUCAGUAACCAUACCUGACUCUAGCGGGAGCUGGAUGAGCAACCUCAGCUUCGGCAGCUUACGGAGUUCCGUCUCCAUCGCUUCUUUACCUGAAUCUACACUCUCCUCUACCUACAAGCCACACAAGGCCAACCAAGCUGCAUGGGAGACCAUCAAGAGGUUACAAAUCGCCAGUGGCCGAGUUGGGCUAGAUCAUUUUCUUCUCCUUCGCCGGCUUGGCAGUGGAGAUUUAGGAAAUGUCUAUCUUUGCCAGAUAAGAAACCCUGUGGUGGGUUUGCCUCAGUGCUUUUAUGCCAUGAAAGUGGUGGAUAAAGAGGCACUCGCGAUAAGGAACAAGUUGCAGAGAGCUCAAAUGGAGAAGGAGAUUCUGGGCUUGCUUGAUCACCCUUUUUUGCCUACUCUGUAUGCAGAGUUCGAGGCUUCUCAUUACUCAUGCUUGGUCAUGGAGUACUGCCCCGGUGGAGAUUUGUAUGCUGCUAGGCAACGCCAGCCAGGAAGGCGCUUUCCCAUUUCAUCUGCUAAGUUUUAUGCUGCUGAGACCCUCUUAGCCCUUGAGUAUCUCCACAUGAUGGGAAUUGUUUACAGAGACCUUAAGCCAGAAAAUGUGCUAGUAAGAGAAGAUGGUCACAUCAUGCUUUCAGAUUUCGAUCUUUCCCUCAAGUGCGAUGUCGUUCCAAAGCUUCUAAGACCUAACAAACCCAAGUUGGAAGCCAUUGAUCACGAGUACGAGGCUUGUUUUACACCAUCUUGUGCCGCACCCAUACGGCCUGUGCUGUCUUGUUUCUCAGCUUCCAACAAGAAAAAGAAGAAAGCUUCUAGAGUCACAACAAUUACAGAAGGAGUAGAUAGUGGUGGCGGUCAUCGUCAAGAUCAAGAACUUGAUAACCCAGAAUUGGUGGCUGAACCCAUCAAUGCUAGAUCGAAGUCCUUUGUUGGGACCCACGAGUACUUAGCACCUGAGGUGAUCUCAGGGCAAGGCCAUGGGAGUGCAGUGGAUUGGUGGACACUAGGGGUGUUCUUGUACGAGAUGUUAUAUGGAAGAACACCUUUCAAAGGUGAAAACAACGAAAGGACCUUGAUUAACAUCCUUAAACAGCCCUUAACCUUUCCAAGAAUUGUGGUUAGUAGUAGCAAAGAAUUAGAAGAAAUGGUAAAAGUGCAAGAUCUUAUAGGCAAACUUCUAGUGAAGAAUCCCAAGAAAAGAAUCGGAAGCUUCAAGGGGUCUGUUGAAAUCAAGAGGCAUGAAUUUUUCAAAGGAGUAAAUUGGGCUUUGAUUAGGUCAGUUAUCCCUCCUGAAGUCCCAAGGGAAGCUUUCAAGAACACAAGUAGAGCUCACAUACCAAAAUUUAGCAAGAAAGAAAGAGAAGCACCAUAUCAGAUCUCCCNNNNNNNNNNNNCGAUUGCUUCUAAUUGAACUGCAGAAAAUGUAAAUAAAAAAAAAAAAAGAGAAGCACCAUAUCA
rnacentral:misc_RNA from 1 species